AGAGUUUGAUCCUGGCUCAGGAUGAACGCUAGCUACAGGCUUAACACAUGCAAGUCGAGGGGCAGCAUGGUCUUAGCUUGCUAAGGCUGAUGGCGACCGGCGCACGGGUGAGUAACACGUAUCCAACCUGCCGUCUACUCUUGGCCAGCCUUCUGAAAGGAAGAUUAAUCCAGGAUGGCAUCAUGAGUUCACAUGUCCGCAUGAUUAAAGGUAUUUUCCGGUAGACGAUGGGGAUGCGUUCCAUUAGAUAGUAGGCGGGGUAACGGCCCACCUAGUCUUCGAUGGAUAGGGGUUCUGAGAGGAAGGUCCCCCACAUUGGAACUGAGACACGGUCCAAACUCCUACGGGAGGCAGCAGUGAGGAAUAUUGGUCAAUGGGCGCGAGCCUGAACCAGCCAAGUAGCGUGAAGGAUGAAGGUCCUAUGGAUUGUAAACUUCUUUUAUACGGGAAUAAAGUGGUCCACGUGUGGACUUUUGCAUGUACCGUAUGAAUAAGCAUCGGCUAACUCCGUGCCAGCAGCCGCGGUAAUACGGAGGAUGCGAGCGUUAUCCGGAUUUAUUGGGUUUAAAGGGUGCGUAGGUGGUGAUUUAAGUCAGCGGUGAAAGUUUGUGGCUCAACCAUAAAAUUGCCGUUGAAACUGGGUUACUUGAGUGUGUUUGAGGUAGGCGGAAUGCGUGGUGUAGCGGUGAAAUGCAUAGAUAUCACGCAGAACUCCGAUUGCGAAGGCAGCUUACUAAACCAUAACUGACACUGAAGCACGAAAGCGUGGGGAUCAAACAGGAUUAGAUACCCUGGUAGUCCACGCAGUAAACGAUGAUCACUAGCUGUUUGCGAUACAGUGUAAGCGGCACAGCGAAAGCGUUAAGUGAUCCACCUGGGGAGUACGCCGGCAACGGUGAAACUCAAAGGAAUUGACGGGGGCCCGCACAAGCGGAGGAACAUGUGGUUUAA
rnacentral:rRNA from 1 species